UAAUUAAAGGCAUAAAUUCAAAUAACUAUUACUAUAAUUGCAAACGUAAUUUCCAGUGAUGUCGACUUGCAAUAGUAGAAAUUCUUUGUUUAGUAAUUAUUUGCAAUUACAUACAAACAAUAAUCGUGCUUGUAAAUGUCACAAUAUCAAGUGCACGAAGCCUAGGUUGGGAUAACGAUAGGCCAGGCGUUGUUUUGUUGAUUUGACAGUGACUGAAAUAAGUUUGUUUAAAACUACAAUCUACUGAACUUGACAAAAAUAUAUGUUAUAUUCUAGUUAUUAUUGAAAUCUAUUCUGGAAUUACUCUUUAAAGGCGACGUGUGUAUAUACAUAUACAAGUUUAACAAUAAAGAAAACAACUACCACUAAUUGAUAUGAAAAUAUCUGUAAUGAUUUGGAUUGUCAUGUUGCUGGUAAUAUUGGAGACAAGAUCUGAAAAACAGCAAAGAUGUAUUGUACAUGGAAAGGGUUGUAAGGACACUGGGCCAUUAAUUAAAGGGAAAGGUCGAUGCGGACAAACUGGAAUGAGUUGCGCUAGAAUAGGAGGAACGUGUCGAUGUAAAUCAAAAUUGAUAUUAAACAAACGACAUUAUCGAAAACUAAAUUAAUAGCAUGAGCGACUGAGAUUAAUGGCAGGAUGAUCUACGGGGCGAAUCCAAAUUAACGAAACGUUUUUCCCAAGCUUUACUUCCUUGAAUGAAUACAAAAUAAUGGAUUAAAUGUCUAGACAGGAUGUGCACAGUGUUUUAAUUGCGUUUAAAUAUAUUUGUUCUAAAGAAAAUUAUAUUAGAUAGAACGAAAUUCGAUCCGCACAUUUUGUUAAACCGAAAUUCAAAUUGUAAGAUUACUUUUAGCCGAAUAAGAAAAUGUUAUAAAAAGUUCUGUUUUAUGUAUGACCCAAGUUUUUGUUUCUUCUACAGCUUAUUAUAGUGCCAUAAUAAUCAAAUAGUACUAAUAUUAUUAUAUUAUCUAAAGAUGUAACAUAACUAUUGUUUUUGUUACACUAUAUAAUAAACUGCACUUUGUCAACAGACAGUUCAUAAAUGUAUUGAAUGAAAAUAAAAUAUUACAAAAGAACGAAAUAUUAUAGGGACAAUUUAUACAUUCUUUUGUCUUCCCGAAGUAAGUCUUUCCGAAGUGACCAGGGAAUCAUCAGUAAUAUUAUCAUUCUUGUCACAUUCAUCACCUUUUUAAAUUCGUUCAAUGUUUACAAAACUGGUUUUAGAAAGCAUCCUUGUUUCCACCUUUGCAAAUAAGUUGAAUAGUUAAUUGUCAUAAUAGCCUUCCAUAUACAUGCAUUAUAUUUAAUUUAACCUGCGUUCCAGUAAAUCUUUUUAAGCAUUAUAACUGUCCUUUUCAUCAACUUGAAGACUUAGAGAAUCCUUCGUUAUCUUUACUUACCAAAAGAAAUAAGCGUGCGGACAAAGAUACUUGACUACUAGAAUCAAACUGUAACGGUAAUAUAACGACUAGUGUAGGAUGACCUCAAAUGCAUUUACGUGCAUUAUUUCAGAAACGAGCAACUACCUGAGUAGAAGAACCGACUAGCUAGCUGAAUUGCUUUCUCACAUGAAAGAAUACAGUUUCUGGAGGCUUUCGAACCUAUAGCGGUGGUUUCAAAUUGUUUGUGCAGGUCUGAAUUUUCAGAUAAAUGCAAUGUUACAGUGACAUUAUGCCAAUCCAAAUGUUAAGUGCACAGGUAAAUAUCAAGACAUUUCUUUAAUUUGUCAUUAUUUGUUUUGAUUUUGUUCAUCGCAAAAAUAACUAUUAUCCAACAAGAAUAGCGUAGAUUUCCUAAUAUAUUGUUCUAAAUUUAUCUUCGAUAGAUAACAAAGAGUCUGAAUGAAUCUGUAUUGUCAUAAGAAAGGAAAGCAUCUUCCCCCACAAAUGAAUAAACGACAAAAACAUCAACAUCAACAGAAGAACAAAAAAAUUACCUCCAAAACAACAACAAUAGAACCAAACAAAUCAACAAAAAAUACAAAAAACAAAAACACAAACAAAAAAAAUAAAAGCGCAGAUAAGUAUACAUACUAAGAAGCCAAAUUCUUCAAUUACUUUGAAUGGCACUGUCGCGCAAUUUAAAAAGGCAAGAACAAGUGGCUGUAAUUAUUGUUUUCAUUGUUUGUACUGAAAUAUAUAGUUCUGUACACAAAGUGCAUAGAGUAUAAAAAUCUUAAUUGUGAGCAAACACUAACAAAAUCGUUCUCCAUCUUACUUAAAAAUGUUUAAAUAAAUUAUUUCCUUUUUAAAUAUGCUAUAUUUCUACAAUCUUUUUUCAGUCAUAGUAUUGGUAUAUAAACACACAAAAUAAAACUAGAGCUUUGAUAGCAGAUUGAGAGGGAUAUAUUGUUUACUUUUGUAAAUGUUUUGUAUUAUGGUUGGAAAAUCAUAUUUUAAUGAAAUCCGUAUUGAAUAUACAACGAAUGAUGAAUCAAGAAUCUCAGUUAUCAAGUAUGUUCUAUAUUUUAACUCUCAUACACUUUCCCAAUGUAUCGCAAUAAUAUCACAAAUUACUUUUAAUAGCUUAAAGAACAGGAUCUUGCCACUUUGUAACUUCCCGUUAUUAUAUGAAUAGGGACUACCAGUUAAAAAACACAACGCAUUUCUGUAUAUUUAAAAUAAACCAAUGAGCACGAUGAAUACUAAAAACGCUUAAAUAGCUCUCGAUAAAAAAUGAUGAGUACACGUUCAAUAAAAUUCGUUUUGGCUGCCUUUCUUUUGCUUGCUGCUCUUCAAGAAAUUGUCGGACGACGGAAGUGUAGACGAUGGGGAAAUACUUGUAGAGAUCUCAAACCACCAGGCAGCAAUGGAGGUCUUUGUGAAAGGACGGGACCUUUCUACAGAUGUAUCAGAAUUGGACGGUAUUGCAGGUGUCGGGCAUCAAUUGUCCUACAUCGUCCUCCACAUUCGUCCACGGAAUCUGACGACGAGGAUUUCAUUCAAAGAGAGUAGCAUGGCAAGGAGCAGUAAAAUAAAUGCAGAUUGUGUGGCAUAGAUAGUGUGCAUAAAACAAAUUGUCUUCUUGACGUGAAUCAACAUGUGAAGAUUCUGUGGUUAAAUUAUGUUAUUUUUUAUGGAUUUUGAAUUUGCUUAUGUUAGAAUUUCUUACAUGCGAAUCCAGUUACUUUCAGACACGGGCCUAAAUGAAUCUCUGAAGCUUUGUUAAUGAUCAUUAUUUUCUGCUUAUGCAAAAAUAUCGCAUAUGAAAUGUUGUUUUCUCAUUCUAUCAAAUUCAUAAUAAAGUAACUUCUACAAGUACACAAAAAAUAUUACGAAUUGUUAUUUUCGUAAACAAAAAAAAAUAUAACAAAUCAAUGUAGUAAAUAUUUUCAAGUAUUUCUAUACUAUAUUUAUGUUCACAAAGCCAGUAGAAUCUUAUGGUUACUGUAAAACUUAUAACAAACUAUAAAUUGAACACGAUAACUUUCACAUUAUUCGAUCGAAUCAUCAUCAUAUAAUUGUUUUGAAAGUUAUUCAAUUAUUACAUUUCACAUUUUUAUUGCAAUACCGAAGAAUGAUAUAAGUGUAUAGGAACAUGUUAACCGGAGUAGCAUAGUGGUUAUCGAGUUGUUUUCAAAGUUCAAAUCUGCAAUUGUGCACUCAUUAAGUGUUUUCUUUUACUUUCAGAAUAUAUUUUAAUAACUUGUCACGAGAGUUUUGAUUUUAUCUUAUAUAAAAGUGUAAUUUAAUUAAAAUAUUGCACAAUUGAAAGUUAAACUUAUCACGGUUAAACACAACUAAAAGUAUAGGAUUAUCUCUGAACACAUUAUUAAUUUUAUUCUAUUUUGUUUCUGAAUUCCAUUUGCCACAUGUUUAACAAUCUUGGCUCAUUUGUAUAAUUAUAUCUAUUUUCUUCCAUUGCUAUUUAUUCGGUCAUUUUUCACCUAAUUCUUAUUUUCGGCAUUGUUGACUAUAACUCGAUCUAGCUGUUGAAUACGAAUCUGUGUUAAACUAUGAUGUUCUGAACGUUGCAAUCCUGUUCGUUGAAAAUUGCCUUUUCAAGGAAACAAACAAGGAUCUCUAUACUCACCGAGCGGACACUCUACAACUACAGUAUUACGCUGAAAAGACAAAACAUGAGUAAUUGUUUAGGUGGUUAUAUAUUUAGGCAUACAAAUAAUAUGCUUUUAUAUAAGAAUGAUCGACAACCGUAUUUGUCAUUUUUAAUGUAAAUAGAUAACAAAAUGAAUAAAGAAUUCGAGCUGUA